UUGUUUGAUGUGCUUGUUGGCCUCACUUGUUGCCUGUUGCCUUUAAGCGAUCGGCUGGUUGGUGUUGUUGGCUUUGUUGUUGCAGUUACUUUCCUAAGCACCGCGGCGCUAUCGCUUCGAUUGGGUAUGUACGUGCACACACACAUAUAGCAAAAGAACUCUUGCCACCCCUCCAGGAUCACGGCACACAACAGAUCUUUACAGAAACUUGCAACAACAAUGGCAAUUAACAGGGUGAAGUAAUGCGCGUGUAUGAACAAAAGCACACACACACCAAUGCAGUACACACGCACACUCGAAAUGAAAAAGAAAAUAUUAUCAGAUAGGAAAUGAAAUAAAAAGCUUGCAGAAAAUGUGCACGCACACAACAACAGUAUGUAUACAGACGGUGGUUUGAGUGUAGAAGCAGAACAAGCAGCAGCAGCAGCAACAGCGGCGGCGGACCCACGCACACACGCAUAAUAGAAAUGAAGAAAUGAAAUGUUUUCAUUAGGCACUUUUUUAUUUUUAUUGGAUUGACACGAUCCACAGUUGGAGCUGUGCUUUCGAACGAUGCGAGCUGGCGGCGGGUGAGCUGCUUGCGCUUGAUUGUGACAGCGUGUUCAAUUGAGUUGAAAUGAAAAAAAAUUAUAAAUAAAAAUUUUUUUAUAAGUUUAUUUCGUGUACAAAUAGUGUUAUGAACUUUCUUUCUGCGCUUAACACCGAAAUUCGCAAAAGCAAAAAAAAA